rnacentral:tRNA from 1 species
GCGUCGGUAGCUCAACGGACAGAGCACCAAUCCAUGGACUUGGAGGUUGCAGGUUCGAAACCUGCCUGACGCCCCA